GUGGCGUCAUCGCUUUUUUAGAAAGAACCUUGUGUAUUUUUAAAAUGAACCAGCAGUCUAGAUGGCCUCGGACGCGGCCUCCAGCUCCACGCACUCCGACCUCCUCCAGGUACGCCCGCCAGGCCCCAUCCUCCUAACCCGAUCGCUACUCUCCUGAACCCUGUGUCGUCACAAGAGCGCGAGGAGGUCGUGGCGGAGCGCGCUCUACACUGUGUGUAUGCGGAGGCGGUGGCCAUGGCAGAGGAGAACCAUGUUGUUGCCGGCGCCGGCCAGAAGCUCUACUGGUCCCGGCAAACCAGAGCCACUGCGGUUCAACGCCUGCGUUUCGCGGCUCAUUGCUGCCUGCACGCUCUGACAUGUACCCUCCCAUGUCAAACAACAAAGUCGCAGUAAUUGUGUUCAGCUUGUUUGUUCUUGCCGUAUGUAGAAAAAGAGGGAUGAAAACAACCACACACUGUGGGACUCCUGAAGACGACAUUUGGGUUGAUGGUGAAUUCAGUUGUAUGAGCCAGAGAACCAAACAUUAUGGGAGGAGAACCAGUUUCUAAAAAUGGUAUCUAAAAGGAUGACUCGGGUGAGUUGAUUUAUUCAUGGCUAUUUUGAUCUCCUAGUUAGAAGCCAGUUUUAUUAAAAACAACUUUUAUUUGGAAUUUUAGGAGAAAAAUAUGGUGGUUGUGGUUAGUUUAUUGAUUCAUGUUUAAAUUUUUCUUUGUUUGGUAUGGAGGCAACAUGUCAGGCGAUUAGGCAUGUGUGCUAUAUGGGGCUGAGUGUUGGCCUACUAAGAGACGACAUAUCCAACAACUAAGUGCUUACCCUAACUUGCUUGGGACUAAAAGACUAUGUUGAUAUUGAUGUUGUGAUGGUGUGGAGGCAACACAACAAGAGUGGACCCAACAUAUGACUUUAGUGAUGUUUGUUUAGUGGCCAGAAGACUGUGCAGGUCUAUAUUCCUUGUUGAUAAGUUCCCUUCUGUGAAGCAGACUGAUCUAUCAUGCCUAACCACUCGCCUUCUCCAUCGCAGCUUGUUAUAUUUCUGCUUGCUUUAGUGUCUGUACCUUGGAUGUUGAUUCCAAAACCUCUUCUUUUGAAGAAACAAAAUCAGCAUAGUACUCGUAUAUUUUUAUUACUAUUAUACUAUUUACAGGGUAGCCGUGGAAUAUGUGUUGCAAUUUUCCUGUAGCAUUGGAAGAGGAGCAUUUUGGUGCUUCUGCCGGUUUCUAGUUGUUGGUUUGCAACCAACCGGUAACUUUUAUUGUCACCUAUUUUACCCAAAAUAGCUUGACAUGUCAUUUGAUGGUUUUCAAGAAAUGUGUUGUGGUUUCGAAAGAAUGAUAAUGUCAUAUAAAAAAAUCACAUAUCUAUGAUUUUUAGUCCGGAUAGCUGCCUUCCUAGCAUUACCUAUUUAUUGAAAAAUUAUAGCAGUCUUUCAAAUUCACAUGAUAAUAACAAAGUAGUAUCAAUGAACUAAAUAAUGUGUCCACCUGUAAGCAAAAGAUGUCUGGUUUGCUGGAGCACUUGUCUCGGGAUACACAGAGGCAAAGUUUGGAUCAUGAUAUUGGUCCAACUAUUGCUCAUUUCUUGAAAUGUUUCAUGGGAACAUUUCUUGGAAAGUUUGGAUCAUGAUAUUGGUCCAGCUAUUGUUUGAUGAGAUAGCAAAUGUUCGAGAACGGUUGUUCGACUUCUUGGUGAAUGAGAUGAUAGACAUUGGUGGAUCAUGCAGGGUUGAAGGAGCUUCAUAUAACUAAACCUAGCAUGGCUGUUUAGGUAAGAUGUUACAUCCAUAUAACCUUUACGAUAUGUCACAAUGUGCGGUGUUGAACUGUCUCUAACUACUAAUUAUUGCCUUCUCCAAGUUUUUGUACAGGAAAAGAUGGAAUGGAACUCAAAUUUUUGUGGCCGCACAAGUGUGGAGACUUGAAUUCAUAUAUACUUAUUUAUGCUCAACGUUAGCACAAACAGUUAAUGACUAAGUUUUUCAAUUAGUAUUUCAUUUUGGAUUUAGAGGACACUUGUGUAUGAGUUAUUUUACAAUGCUUAUUUAUGAGAUAUGAGUGACACUUAUCUAUAUUAUAUUAA